UUAAAAUGAUGAGAAAUAUUUUUAUAAAUUUUUAUAUUAACAGUUAUCCCUGUCUGAAUGAGGCCUUAACACCCUCGUAUAUGUCGAGAUAUUUUUAUUCUGAAAUUUAA
rnacentral:snoRNA from 1 species